rnacentral:rRNA from 1 species
CCGCAGCUAACGCAUUAAGUGCCCCGCCUGGGGAGUACGGCCGCAAGGCUAAAACUCAAAGGAAUUGACGGGGGCCCGCACAAGCGGCGGAGCAUGCGGAUUAAUUCGAUGCAACGCGAAGAACCUUACCAAGGCUUGACAUGUUCUCGAUCGCCGUAGAGAUACGGUUUCCCCUUUGGGGCGGGUUCACAGGUGGUGCAUGGUUGUCGUCAGCUCGUGUCGUGAGAUGUUGGGUUAAGUCCCGCAACGAGCGCAACCCUCGUUCCAUGUUGCCAGCACUUCGGGUGGGGACUCAUGGGAGACUGCCGGGGUCAACUCGGAGGAAGGUGGGGACGACGUCAAAUCAUCAUGCCCCUUAUGUCUUGGGCUUCACGCAUGCUACAAUGGCCGGUACAAUGGGUUGCGAUACUGUGAGGUGGAGCUAAUCCCAAAAAGCCGGUCUCAGUUCGGAUUGGGGUCUGCAACUCGACCCCAUGAAGUCGGAGUCGCUAGUAAUCGCAGAUCAGCAACGCUGCGGUGAAUACGUUCCCGGGCCUUGUACACACCGCCCGUCAAGUCACGAAAGUCGGUAACACCCGAAGCCGGUGGCCUAACCC